CCUACGGGAGGCAGCAGUGAGGAAUAUUGGUCAAUGGGCGCGAGUCUGAACCAGCCAAGUAGCGUGAAGGAUGACUGCCCUAUGGGUUGUAAACUUCUUUUAUAAAGGAAUAAAGCGAGGCACGUGUGCCUUUUUGCAUGUACUUUAUGAAUAAGGAUCGGCUAACUCCGUGCCAGCAGCCGCGGUAAUACGGAGGAUCCGAGCGUUAUCCGGAUUUAUUGGGUUUAAAGGGAGCGUAGAUGGGUUGUUAAGUCAGUUGUGAAAGUUUGCGGCUCAACCGUAAAAUUGCAAUUGAUAAUGGCAGCCUUGAGUACAGUUGAGGUAGGCGGAAUUCGUGGUGUAGCGGUGAAAUGCUUAGAUAUCACGAAGAACCCCGAUUGCGAAGGCAGCUUACUAAACUGUGACUGACAUUGAUGCUCGAAAGUGUGGGUAUCAAACAGGAUUAGAUACCCGAGUAGUC
rnacentral:rRNA from 1 species